rnacentral:rRNA from 1 species
CUACGGGCCGCAGCAGUGAGGAAUAUUGCGCAAUGGACGAAAGUCUGACGCAGCCAUGCCGCGUGCAGGAUGACGGCGCUAUGCGUUGUAAACUGCUUUUAUAGGCCAAGAAACCUUCGGACGUGUCCGAAGCUGACGGUAGCAUAUGAAUAAGCACCGGCUAACUCCGUGCCAGCAGCCGCGGUAAUACGGAGGGUGCAAGCGUUAUCCGGAUUUAUUGGGUUUAAAGGGUCCGUAGGCGGAUCAUUAAGUCAGUGGUGAAAGCCGGCAGCUCAACUGUCGAACUGCCAUUGAUACUGGUGAUCUCGAAUGCGGUUGAAGUUGGCGGAAUAGGUCAUGUAGCGGUGAAAUGCUUAGAUAUGACCUAGAACACCGAUUGCGAAGGCAGCCAACUAAGCCGUUAUUGACGCUGAGGGACGAAAGCGUGGAGAGCGAACAGGAUUAGAUACCCCUGUAGUC